GGCAAGCCGUUUGUGACCAUUUUUUUUGCGCGAGCAAGGCAAAAUCAGUCGCUAAACCCCCACACGGGGAAGACCCAAACCCUAAGCACAGAGCUCCCCAUGGCAGCAUCCACGGCGGCGGCGGCCGCGCGGAAGGGCGCGCUGACGGAUCAGAGGUUCUCGGAACUUUCCCUCGCGCUGUCCCCGGAGGUGGUGGAGGCAUUGGACCGCGGCGGCUUCCAGCGGUGCAUGCCCGUGCAGGCGGCGGCCAUCCCGCACCUGCUAUCGCACAAGGACGUCGCCGUCGAUGCCGCCACAGGCUCCAGGAAGACCCUUGCGUUCAUCGUCCUUGUCGUUGAGAUCCUCCGCCGCCGCUCCUCCCCACCCAAGUCACACGAGGUCGCCUCACGGCCCCUGGCCUCUAUACGUCCCUUGCUCUGACCUUCUCAAUUUCUAACAAAAUUCUGCACUCCUUUUCUCAUUUUUCAUCAAUAAAUGAAUCCUGUUGGCUUGGGAGAGACGAGGGUGGCUUUCAAGCUGCAGAAAGACAUGUUUCAUUACAUGGCAUUGGCUGACGACAGGCAGAGAAUUAUGCCAAUGCCCAAUGACCGGUUGCCUCCUCGAGGACAACCAUUAGCGUACCCUGAGGCUGUGCUCCUUGUGGACCCAAUCAACCCUGAACUUAGAGGGGAGGUUGACGACAAGUACCAGUACUCUUGCGAAGACCAGUACAACAAUGUCCAUGGUUGAAUGUCAUUCGAUCCUCCAAUUGGCUUCUGGCUGAUCACUCCAAGUGAUGAGUUCAGGACAGGAGGACCUCUGAAGCAAAACUUGACUUCUCAUGUUGGCCCUACUAUACUGGUUAUGUCUCUUAGUGCACAUUAUGCAGGGGAUGACCUCUCACCAAAGUUCACGAAUGGAGAGUACUGGAAAAAGGUCCAUGGACCGAUAUUCAUGUAUCUUAAUUCCAGUUGGGAUGCAAGUGACCCAACUAUGCUAUGGGAAGAUGCAAAAGUUCAGGUGAUUAUAUUUCUGACACGUAAGUGCUCGAGGAUAGUACAACCAGAGCCAGCGAGUAACUACUGCGGUGCUGCCUAUCUAUAUGCAUGUCAUGAGUAUUACUGAACUGUGGAAGUCACUUUGUUUUCUCUAUUUAUGUUUUGCCUUGUGUAAUCAGAUGAUGAUUGAGAAAGGAAACUGGUCAUACUGUUUUGCACUUUCAGAGGAUUUUCAGAAGACAGAGCAAAGGGGUUGUGUCUCUGGUAGAUUAAUUUGUUGGUCAAACACGAAUUUGGACAGUCAAAACAUGCCCUGCAUUUCUAGACGAAGUAAAAUUUUCCAUUUAAUAUUUUUCUAGAGCAGUAGGGCAUAGUCUUUGUCUCACCAAAGCAAACA